AAAUUUUUAUUUUACUUUUAAAAAAGUGAAAUUAAGAGUUGAUUACUUAAAAAAAAAGAUAAAAUCAACAAACUUUUCUCUGGACUAAUUAGGAAAUCUAAAGAGAAAACUUAAAUUUGUAAAUUCACAGAUGAGAAAGACUGCUGGGCCGUGGUGGCACACGCCCUUAGUCCCAGCACUCAGGAAGCAGGACAAGUGUGUUUCCAUGAGGUUGAGGCCAGCCGUGUCUACAGACUGAGUUCUAGAACAGUUACAGCUACACAGAGAAGCCACAAACCCUGUCUCAAAAAAACAAAAACAAAAACAAAAACAACAACAACAAAAAAAACCAAAGAACAGAAAACAAACAAAAACAAAACUAGAGAGAAAGAGAGAGAGACAGAGACAAAGACACAGAGAGACAAAGAGAGAGGGGGGAUAUUGCAGCUGAUACCACAGUACUAUGAAGGAUCUUAAGAGAUCAUCAUGAACAGUUGUACACUAAGAAGUUGGAAAACCUAGAAGAAAAUCAUAUAUCCCUGGUCUUAAACAGCCUGUUAGCAUUGAAUCACAACAAAGUGUAUAAGAUAUCUGAACAGACCAGUAAUGAACAAAGACAGUGAUUCAAUAAUGUCUCUCUUAAAACAAAACAAAACAAAACAACUUAGAAUCUGAUGAUACCACUGCCAAAUUCUACAGACCAUUUCACUUACUCUGAUAUUCCAUAUUUGCCUUUAAAUAAAAUCUUAUUUUAGCAAGAUCAUAUUUACUUUUAAAGAAAACUUAAUAUCACUUGAUUACUAGAAAGUUUAUUUCACCUACUACACACAGGGGGAAACAAAGAAAGUAGAAUGCCAUUAAGGUAUAUAAAAUUACCCAUUGAAGACUUGCGACCUAAAGUAUUUUUUAUCUUUUAUUUUUUUUAGAAAUGCAAGAGCAGGAAUAAAUUCAUUGCUGCUGCUAGCUUGAGGCACUCUCCUGUAUAAGACAGUGGAACGAGAAUUCAACUGAGUGCUAGCUAUGAAUGAGUCACAUAAAUUCUGAAAGAACUGGUUCAUUCUUUUAUUGAUCAAUAAUUUUGGCUCUUGUCCUCAGGUACUCUGGUGUUGUAGAUCAUACUCUGUAUAGUCCUGAACAGUUGGAGGCAAACAGGUUCCACUGUGGUAUCUGCAGUGGGCAUUUCAUCAGAAUGGCUCAAGAUGAAAAUGUAAACUCUGCUGGCUGAAUUCUGGCAGAAGGCCUUUGGAUGAAGCAAGAUGUCUUGGUACACAUCAUCAUCCCAGGACUUGGGUGAUGGAGGUAAAAGGAUUUCAAGUUUGAAGCUGGCCUGGUCUACAUAGCAAGAGUCUGUCUCAAGAAAUCAAAAUCAACCAGCCAAGCAUGUUUUAUAUGCCCCAAAAGGGAAAACAUCUACCAAGGUUCUGUCUUUCUUUUCCCUCUCACUUACCCCCUCGAUGUGUGUGUGUGUGUGUGUGUGUGUGUGUUUCUGGGGAUCUGACACGGGGUCUUGGCCUAUCACUGAUAUUAUAGCCCUAGACCCACUGAGUUACAUCUCCAGUCCUGUUUUUAUUUUUUUUCCUACUUUUCUUGAGCAGCUGGGAGUGUAGAUCUGAGCUACCUGCCACCACCACGCUUGUCUGAGAACUCCUUUUUAUUAAAUUUAAAGCUCUUCCAAUUAUUGAAGGAUCAAUUCAGAUAUAAACCACAGCAGAAUACUGCCGAAGCAGUGUGUUCUGUUCGGUUAAAAAGGAAAAAGCAAAAAUACUUGGUGGAAGGGAUGGCUCAGUUCUGACCCUCAGCUAAGGUAAAUUCGAUUAGGCCAUGUUUUUUAAGGAACAUUUUUAUUUUCUGAGGUAACAUUUUUCUUAUCAGAUAUACCUCAGGACUAUGAACCAAUGGCAUAUGACAAAGAAUAAAAAAAAAAAACUUAGUGGUUUUUUUCCCUUUGGGGCACAUUAAAAAAUUAUAUUCCACUCUUUGUUUGGCUGGUUGAUUUUGGGAAGUGCUUCAAGGAGAAUUCCAGAUAAGAACACUUUUGCUAGAUCAAGCCAUCUUUACUUACAUUCUCCAUAGGAUGCAAGCUUACUGGCCUUUAUUCUACUUCUUCUUUGAGGAAUGAAACAUUUUGUCUGCUGAUGCUGCUUAAAAGUUGUCUAUUAGACAACCAGUCAGUGACCUGUCCUGUCUGCAGAAAGCCAGCUGAGAUCUGUAGUUCUGUCUCCAAGCAGGUGGGGAUAUGGUUGUCCUUUCAAUGCAUUGGCUAGAAGCUCCCCCUGCCAAGAACUGAACGCUUUAAUUCUGUGAUUCAUCAAAGCCGUUCCUUAUACCUGGUGUCAAGUAACCUUUCUUUUCAGGAGGUCUAACCCAAUAGCCUCCCAGACCUCAGGAUGAAAGCAGGCAGCGUGUACACUGUGUGCAAGAAGGACAAAGAAGAAACACACUCAAAGCCGAGCCCCAUGUUACAUAAUGCCUGUGUUUGAAGAUCCAUGACCCAUAAAACAUUUACCUACUUUGUGGGGUUUAAAUAAAGCAGAGUGGUGUUCCUUUUU
rnacentral:lncRNA from 1 species